UCCUCAACAAAACAUUCUUCCAUUUGGGACUAGGAACAUGUUCUCAGGCUCCUCACUGUUGAGGGAAUUGACAUUAAAAGACCAAAACAGAAUAGGUUUCUUAAAAGUCUUGAACUUGAAAGAAGAAAAGCUCAGGGUUAGCUGGUUUCAGGGGGUCUAGAGUAGGGUGAGACACAUAAGCACUUCUCCGAGUGCAUCCUAUGGACUAACCACUGCUAUCAAGCCAGUCCUGGAGGGUGGAGCCCAAGCUGAGCUGAGGCACAGCUUCCUUGAAUCAUAAUUCCAAGUGACUACAUUAAAUAAGGUCAAAGGAGAAAGAAAACCAAAUGGCACAGGUUCAGGUAAGAGACAGUUGUGUUCAGGUUAUCUGAGGUUUGAAAGGACCCCAAGCUGUGAGAUGUGAAGAACACAUACACACACACUCACACAGGGCAGGACACUAAGGUAAGCAAGCUUCCAACAAAGAGACCUGCAACCUUCAACAUCUUCCUCAUUUACUCCUUCUCCACCUGUCCCCCAUUACCCUGGCUAGAUGUUAAUCAGCUACAGGACCACUUCUUCAAGGGGCUGGAGGAAGAAGGCUGGAGGCAUUCACCAGCUUAUAAAAGAAUGGUAUACCUUGCUUAGACAAGUGAAAGAUGACCUACUAACAGAUGUGAUUUUGCUGUCUAGAACUCCACUUUCAUCUCUUGUCUAAUCCAAACCAAGAUUUCUAUUUUCUUUUUUUUUUUUUUAAGAUUUUAUUUACUUAUUCAUGAGAGACAGAGAGACAGAGAGAGGCAGAGGCAGAGGAAGAAGCAGAACAAAGAUUUAUUAAUGGAAUGGAUUUGGGCAAAGCUGGAAAUAUCUCCAAGGCAGCCAAUCUGCUAACUCUGUGGAUUGGGAUACUGUUAAUAAGACUAAGAAAAGAAAUGAAACUGACGUGUUUCACUGUGUGUAUGGGAGUGGUAGUGGCAGUGAGUGGCAGUCAAGAAGAUCAUGAACUGGGUUCUGGACCAGAAAUUAAAAUUAAGAUGCUCAACCCAACACUCAUGUGAUGAGGUCUACCAGGCAGAUACACACACACACACACACACACAGACACACAAAUCUGGACAGAUCUUGGGAGAGGCUAACCUACUGAUACAGAGGUAACAAGUGACACCAAAGCAGAGGAUAAGACCAGAGACAGGGAUGCCUAGGUGGCUCAGUGGUUUAGUGUCUGCCUUUGGCUCAGGGCAUGAUCCCGGGGUCCUGGGAUCAGUCCCACAUCAGGAUCCCUGCAGGGAACCUGCUUCUCCCUCUGCCUAUAUCUCUGCCUUUCUGUGUGUGUCUCUCAUGAAUAAACAAACAAAUUUUAGGGGGAAAAAAACAAAAAAGACCAGAGAGAGAUGCCAAGGGAAUGCUAGUUUGAAGGAUAAUAAUGAAUGAACGAAUGCAGAUGGGAAACUCCAGAAACAU
rnacentral:lncRNA from 1 species